AGAAGAAGAUGAAAAGAGAGGUUGUGGUGAGGUUCAAUCAGGGGUUUGGGUUUAAUGGUGGUGGAGGUGGUGGUGGGAAAGAUGACGGAGCUACUGCUAGAGGCAGCUUGGUUGGAUUUUGGAUGCAAUUGUUUCCAUUUGGGUACUCUCUUUCAUUUAGCAACUGAUUUGGGGUUCUUCUCACAAAUCUUAGUUCCUUUACAUUUCUGAAAAAAAAAACAGCUCCUUGUAGUGCUUGUAGCAAUUGUUGGUGUGGGUGCUUUUCUGUGGUGGGCAAGGCAGGAUAUGGUUCAAGACACUGUAAGGCUACUUCUAUUUUUUCUCUUGCUCACUUCUUAAAGCUCAUAGUUUUCUUCAACUGUGGUAUCAAACAUCUGUUGUUGCCUAGUUAAAACACAACCCAAGUUGUUGAGUGCCUUAAGUUCCAUGCUCUCAAUUUAAUUUCCAUGUUGGCACCUACAA